GGAAAGGCGCGCGAUACAGGGUGACAGCCCCGUACACAAAAAUGCACAUGCUGUGAGCUCGAUGAGUAGGGCGGGACACGUGGUAUCCUGUCUGAAUAUGGGGGGACCAUCCUCCAAGGCUAAAUACUCCUGACUGACCGAUAGUGAACCAGUACCGUGAGGGAAAGGCGAAAAGAACCCCGGCGAGGGGAGUGAAAAAGAACCUGAAACCGUGUACGUACAAGCAGUGGGAGCACGCUUAGGCGUGUGACUGCGUACCUUUUGUAUAAUGGGUCAGCGACUUAUAUUCUGUAGCAAGGUUAACCGAAUAGGGGAGCCGAAGGGAAACCGAGUCUUAACUGGGCGUUAAGUUGCAGGGUAUAGACCCGAAACCCGGUGAUCUAGCCAUGGGCAGGUUGAAGGUUGGGUAACACUAACUGGAGGACCGAACCGACUAAUGUUGAAAAAUUAGCGGAUGACUUGUGGCUGGGGGUGAAAGGCCAAUCAAACCGGGAGAUAGCUGGUUCUCCCCGAAAGCUAUUUAGGUAGCGCCUCGUGAAUUCAUCUCCGGGGGUAGAGCACUGUUUCGGCAAGGGGGUCAUCCCGACUUACCAACCCGAUGCAAACUGCGAAUACCGGAGAAUGUUAUCACGGGAGACACACGGCGGGUGCUAACGUCCGUCGUGAAGAGGGAAACAACCCAGACCGCCAGCUAAGGUCCCAAAGUCAUGGUUAAGUGGGAAACGAUGUGGGAAGGCCCAGACAGCCAGGAUGUUGGCUUAGAAGCAGCCAUCAUUUAAAGAAAGCGUAAUAGCUCACUGGUCGAGUCGGCCUGCGCGGAAGAUGUAACGGGGCUAAACCAUGCACCGAAGCUGCGGCAGCGACGCUGAUGCGUUGUUGGGUAGGGGAGCGUUCUGUAAGCCUGCGAAGGUGUGCUGUGAGGCAUGCUGGAGGUAUCAGAAGUGCGAAUGCUGACAUAAGUAACGAUAAAGCGGGUGAAAAGCCCGCUCGCCGGAAGACCAAGGGUUCCUGUCCAACGUUAAUCGGGGCAGGGUGAGUCGACCCCUAAGGCGAGGCCGAAAGGCGUAGUCGAUGGGAAACAGGUUAAUAUUCCUGUACUUGGUGUUACUGCGAAGGGGGGACGGAGAAGGCUAUGUUGGCCGGGCGA
rnacentral:rRNA from 1 species